rnacentral:rRNA from 1 species
AGGUGCGACCAUGCAAGCACUAAUGCACUCUUUCAUUAGAACUCCGUAGUUAAGCAUGUUUGGGCGAGGGUAAUACUUUGUUGUGUGCAAGGAAGUCUUCGUGUUGCACUCC